rnacentral:rRNA from 1 species
AAGUGGCGCACGGGUGCGUAACGCGUAUGCAACCUACCUUAAUCAGGGGGAUAGCCCGGAGAAAUCCGGAUUAACACCGCAUAAAAACACAGGAUAGCAUUAUCCAAUGUUCAAAUAUUUAUAGGAUUGAGAUGGGCAUGCGUGUCAUUAGCUAGUUGGCGGGGUAACGGCCCACCAAGGCGACGAUGACUAGGGGAUCUGAGAGGAUGACCCCCCACACUGGUACUGAGACACGGACCAGACUCCUACGGGAGGCAGCAGUAAGGAAUAUUGGUCAAUGGAGGCAACUCUGAACCAGCCAUGCCGCGUGCAGGAAGACUGCCCUAUGGGUUGUAAACUGCUUUUAUCCGGGAAUAAACCUCUUUACGAGUAAAGAGCUGAAUGUACCGGAAGAAUAAGGAUCGGCUAACUCCGUGCCAGCAGCCGCGGUAAUACGGAGGAUCCAAGCGUUAUCCGGAUUUAUUGGGUUUAAAGGGUGCGUAGGCGGCCUGUUAAGUCAGGGGUGAAAGACGGUAGCUCAACUAUCGCAGUGCCCUUGAUACUGAUGGGCUUGAAUGGACUAGAGGUAGGCGGAAUGAGACAAGUAGCGGUGAAAUGCAUAGAUAUGUCUCAGAACACCGAUUGCGAAGGCAGCUUACUAUGGUCUUAUUGACGCUGAGGCACGAAAGCGUGGGGAUCAAACAGGAUUAGAUACCCUGGUAGUCCACGCCCUAAACGAUGAACACUCGCUGUUGGCGAUACACAGUCAGCGGCUAAGCGAAAGCGUUAAGUGUUCCACCUGGGGAGUACGGUCGCAAGAUUGAAACUCAAAGGAAUUGACGGGGGCCCGCACAAGCGGAGGAGCAUGUGGUUUAAUUCGAUGAUACGCGAGGAACCUUACCCGGGCUUGAAAGUUAGUGAAUGAUUUAGAGAUAGAUCAGUCCGCAAGGACACGAAACUAGGUGCUGCAUGGCUGUCGUCAGCUCGUGCCGUGAGGUGUUGGGUUAAGUCCCGCAACGAGCGCAACCCCUAUGUUUAGUUGCCAGCACGUUAUGGUGGGGACUCUAAACAGACUGCCUGUGCAAACAGAGAGGAAGGAGGGGACGACGUCAAGUCAUCAUGGCCCUUACGUCCGGGGCUACACACGUGCUACAAUGGAUGGUACAGAGGGCAGCUACAUAGCAAUAUGAUGCGAAUCUCACAAAGCCAUUCACAGUUCGGAUUGGGGUCUGCAACUCGACCCCAUGAAGUUGGAUUCGCUAGUAAUCGCGUAUCAGCAAUGACGCGGUGAAUACGUUCCCGGGCCUUGUACACACCGCCCGUCAAGCCAUGGAAGUUGGGGGUACCUAAAGUAUGUAACCGCAAGGAGCGUCCUAGGGUAAAACCGAUAACUGGGGCUAAGUCGUAACAAGGUUAGCCGU